rnacentral:rRNA from 1 species
UACGUAGGUGGCAAGCGUUGUCCGGAUUUAUUGGGCGUAAAGCGCCCGCAGGCGGCUCAGCAAGUUUCAGGUGAAAUCUCCUGGCUCAACUGGGAGGGGUCUUGGAAAACUGCUGGGCUUGAGGCAGGGAGAGGGAUGCGGAAUACCAGGUGUAGUGGUGAAAUGCGUAGAUAUCUGGUGGAACACCAGUGGCGAAGGCGGCAUCCUGGCCCUGUCCUGACGCUCAGGGGCGAAAGCGUGGGGAGCAAACCGG